GAUUAAUAAGCUGCCAUCUGAGAAAGUGCUUUAAAUUCUGAAAAGGGAAGGAUAAACAAUAUAGUCAUGCGUAAUCUUAUUCUCUUAAUUAAAAAUUAGUGCUCUAUGAAGGCUUCACACUUCCAAAUAUUACAUUAUUUUUCUCUACAGCAAAUACAGAUUUGAUGGAUUUGAUUGCUGGCUCUUCGACUUUCUGUGUAAUUCUGAGCAAGAAACUUCCUUUGUUCCAAGAUGUCUUCAUAAAAGUAUUUCCUGUAAUAAUACUUAUAUGGCUUUAAUAGUCAUGAAACAUUUUAUGUAUAUAUAAAAGCACAUUUUUGUAGAGAAAUAAAUAAUAUUUUCUUGGAAUUAUUUUUUUAAUUAAUAUUGUUGGUUUCUCUCAUUUUCCAGAAGCAGCCAUUAACUACUAGGACUGACUUCUGAAAUUAAGACUUCUGGUUUUUCCAAUCAAUCUUUAAAAAAUAGCUUUAAGGCUAUUUCCUUAUGAGGAAAUUUCCAAGAACUAUAAUUUUAGCUACCAUAUCCAGCAUGCUAAGCAAUCUUUAUGUAAUUUUCCUCCUUUGUUCAGACUGGAGACCAUCAGUUGGGUUGCGAGUGUAGCCCAGUUGGUAAAGUUGCUUCCCCAGCAUACAUGGAGCUCCAGGUUUGAAUCACCAGCACUGCCCAGACCAGGCCCAGACAGUGGCACAUGCUUACAAUCUAUUAGAGGAUAGAGGCAGGGGGGUCAGAAGGUCAAGGUUGACCUCAGCUAUCUAGGAAGUUUGCAUCUAGCCUGGGAUAUGAGAUCUUUCCUCAAUGUUCAUUUUUUUAGACAUGUAGAAUGUUCCAGUAUCCAUAUGAGAAAGCUGAUAUGUACUUGAUUUUAGGCAGAGACCAAGAGAUGAAAACAUGGUCUAAUUAAUGUGCCCCCCUCACUUUUAAAGGGCUUGUGACACACACAAAAGUACAAUUGGAGUCUGGUUACAUGAACCUAUGAAAGGAAGGGGUGUGCCUCAGUCUCUUCACAGCGACAUUUUUAAAGGAAUUCUAUAAUUGCCUUAAUUUCUCUCCUUUGUAAGGACUGUGUUUAAGGGGAAGGCAGUUUCCUGGCAGAGAGGCAAUUUAGAGAAUAAGUGAGAGUUGAUCCAUAGUAGAUCUAUAGAUACUGGCAAAGCAGAGGCCAGAGAGAUCUGAAAUGGGAAAGCCUCAAAGAGAAGGCCCUUGCCUUGGACCUUUGGGACUAUCUGAGUACAGUGGUACUGAAGUAAAAGGUGAAAGGAUGUAAAAUCCAUGAAUGACCACAUCACAAAAAUUCAUGAAUCAGAUAUAUGGCUCAGGGUUUUUUGUUUUUCUCAUUUCCCCCUUGUUCUCUCUACAGUCAGUCACUAAUUUUCUUCAUUUCCUUCUAGAUGACCUAACUAAAAUCUUGCCUAAAAUGUGUACAGAUGUGUAUAAAAGUUGUUUUAUGAUUUUCUUUGUAUAAACUAAGGUGUUGAUAUAUAACUAGCUAUGUUUAUUUAACAAAUAGUCUUUGAAUGUCUUUGUUCCUUCAUAGAUCUAACUUUUGUGGUAUUUCUUUCACAGUGACAGUCCUUUAGCUGAGAUGAUAUUCCAAAUUAUGAGUAUAUCACAUUUAAUCAAGUCACUAGAGGGUUACCCCAGUAUUUUCCUGCUAAAAUAAUGCCACGUCAGCCACCAUUUAUAUGCAUUAACAAGUAUUCUAGAGCAACAUUAAUAUCUUUAAACCGUAAUAAUGGAACCAUUAUGAUACUGUUGCAAGAACAACCAGAAUAAUCAGGAGAGCCCAGAAAUGGGUGUGGUGGCUCAUGCCUAUAGUUCCAGUGGUAGGAAAGCAAGAGGGUUAGAGUAAAUUCUAGGCUAGGCCAUCCUCAGCUUUGGAAGAGAGCGACUUAAAAGUAACAUAAUUUUCUAAGCCACAUACAUUUAUGAAUAUUUAUAAAAUAGCAUUUCUCAUUGAGAAAAGGAUAGACUGAUCAGUAGUGAACAUUGAUAAAAGAUUGCUAUAAAUUUGGGAGAAACUAAAAGCAUGCUAAGAAAUAGCAUAGGAAUUAAUUUCUAUGGCAUUUCUUUGGCUAUCAUUUUCCCUGAGUGAAACAAAGCUAAAGGUUACAAAGAAGCAGCCAGCCAGGUUUGUUUUAUAAUAUCGAGAUAUAUAAGUGGGCCCAGUCCAUAAGACAAUAUUAAGCACACUUCAGCUCUUAUUUUUUAAGAUUUAUUUUAUUUAUUAUAUGUAAAUACACUGUAGCUGUCUUCAGACACCAGAAGAGGUCAUCAGGUCUUGUUAUAGACGGUUGUGAGCCAACAUGUGGUUGCUGGGAUUUGAACUCAGGACCUCUGGAAGAGCAGUCAGUGCUCUUAACCGCUGAGCCAUCUCUCCAGCCUCACACUUCAACUCUUAUAACAACAAC
rnacentral:lncRNA from 1 species